ACUGUCUGCGUAGUAGACUCAGGA
rnacentral:siRNA from 1 species